GACGAACGCUGGCGGCGUGCUUAACACAUGCAAGUCGAACGGAAAGGCCCUGCUUUUGUGGGGUGCUCGAGUGGCGAACGGGUGAGUAACACGUGAGUAACCUGCCCUUGACUUUGGGAUAACUUCAGGAAACUGGGGCUAAUACCGGAUAGGAGCUCCUGCUGCAUGGUGGGGGAUGGAAAGUUUCGGCGGUUGGGGAUGGACUCGCGGCUUAUCAGCUUGUUGGUGGGGUAGUGGCUUACCAAGGCUUUGACGGGUAGCCGGCCUGAGAGGGUGACCGGCCACAUUGAGACUGAGAUACGGCCCAGACUCCUACGGGAGGCAGCAGUGGGGAAUAUUGCACAAUGGGCGGAAGCCUGAUGCAGCAACGCCGCGUGCGGGAUGACGGCCUUCGGGUUGUAAACCGCUUUCGCCUGUGACGAAGCGUGAGUGACGGUAAUGGGUAAAGAAGCACCGGCUAACUACGUG
rnacentral:rRNA from 1 species